GUAUUUCAAUACUCCUGGUUUUUUUUCGAUCGCAUCAACUUGCUAAUGCCCGGCAAACAUUUUUAUCAUUAUAUUGUCGAAACGUCACGCUAACAUCUCGGCAACAGUAAAUGUUUCGCCUGUGGACGAUGCAGGACAACGUUUUAUUUAUAACGUUAUUUCAACAUAUAAGUAACGUAGCAAUCAAUUUUGCAUUAUGACAUAUUCUUGUUGCAAAAACCUCACAAAUGAAUCGUUCCUCAUGUUAAUAAACAUUACUGUCAGUAUGUAGGUUAAUAGUAUGUAGAUAUAAUAGUUAAGUAUACGCGUGUCGUUCGCGCAUUCAGAAUUAUUUUCCUCGAAACCUACUGCUUGAUUUAAAAAUUGGUUGCCAGCCACUCUUUAUUACCUUGUACAAACCCGAGAAAAGGCGCAGAUUAUGUCGUUUUCAACACGUCCUCAGAAUUCAACGGCAGUGACAGCGAUGCUCUGUCCGAGGAAGCGAUUUCUUGAGAAAAAAUUUGGAAGGAAGCUUAUUCUUCAUCAAGUUAAGCGCGUUAUAUCCGUUGACACCAAGUUUAAAUACAAUGAGUGACAGUCGAUCAGAUCGCUGCUUUCGUCUCAUGUGUACGCUGAGGUAUUUCUAUUGUUGGUUGAAGAAACAUUCGCUAAAUAUCAUAAUUCGGGGGACAUGCUGUAAAAGAUAAUCAACAAAUCUCACAUCAAACGCACCAAUUUAUGAAUUGCUGCUAUGAAUGCCAGUUUUUGCUUUUCUACAUUUAAAAGAUGCCACAAAGUUUUAUGGAUCUUUUAUUUUUUUAAGUCCUAUUCUUUUUGGCAAGUUUAUUUUAUUCUUAAAGA